GGCUAUACACAGGCAUUUGCCGAUCUGUAGGCCACCUCUCCAUGAUGCCCAGUUGGAUGCUGAUGCAGACUGCAGAGAGAUGGGCAUUAAUUCCCAGACAGAGGAGUGCAAAGCAGGAUCUGUGAACCUACCUCAUCUCGGCACUGACAAACUGCCUGUAUCGGUACAGUAUAGUGAAAUACAAGGACAAAGAGACCCAGCAGAGAGACCCCAAGACCCACUGCCAGAAUCCUUCUUGCCGUUCCUU